ACCACUGCAAAUCUCUAACUACAACACUAAAUCUAAAGUCAAUGUACUUAACGACGAAUGGUGUUUGACGUACGACCCAGACUUCGCGAAUGAAGCUAACUAUUUAGCAUCUUCCUGGAAUGUAAGCGUAUCGUCGACCGAUGUCUCAUGUAAUCGCUCUAUAAAAAUAGUGAAAGAAGAGGUUGUGUUGAGGAAUAUCAAGCGUGUCUUGUCAUCGGAUGAAGCAUAUUUUGUCAAUGUGGACCCUGCAUCUUCCACCAUAUCAAUCAAAGCAUGGAAGCCGGCUGGGGUAUUUUAUGCUAUUCAGUCUCUUCUCAGUCUAAUGAAUUCUAAUGGACAGGUA